rnacentral:lncRNA from 1 species
CCGACCCCUCUCCCUCUAUCACCCUUUGCAGCCGCCACGCCCUCAUCCUCUCCAAGCAGCUGCACCCUCCUCCACAUGCAAACCCUAGCCGCCACCUCCCCCAUUCCACCCCUCCAAGGUGUAGCCACUCCCUCCCUAGGAUCUUCUUUGGGUUUGUGCAAGUCUCCAUUGGAAGAUUGGUGGGAGGAAGAAGGAUGGGGUGAAGAAGGAGUUCAAGGUGAUCUUGUUUUCUAUUUUGUAAUUGUGCUGGAAUUUCAUUUGGCUAGCUGUUCUCCUAGGCGAAUUCAUGUAGAGCAUUAUCAUAUCUUUCCAUAGAUUACAUAUGCGUUUAAUUUGGUGUAAUAUUAUAGGAGAUAUCACAUUUUUAACUCAGCUAGGUUGCUGUUCAAAAAACAGAACGCAGGGUGUACUUUGUCGGCUAUUUGGGGCCAUCGAGAUGUUGAAAUUUAAUUAUCUUUUGAACACAAAACUUGUAGGGAAUUUUGUGUAGAUGUUUCUGGAGUUUUUGUUUGUUAUCACUGAUAUUAUAAUUUUAAAGUUAUGAAAUCAACAAUCAGCGCUGCUGUAGUUUGGUGGGUGGUGGGCAGAGGUGUUGUUCGCGAUGGGUUGGGGUUGUGCGUAGGAGCGGCGUUGGUUAUUAGCGAAUGUUAUGUGAAUGUGUGUACUAAGUUUUAUGCUGAAACAGGUGGUGGACAUCCGGAUCGUACUUAGUACCAUUUCAAAUUCCCAGUGAAGGCAAGUAAAUGCAGUGGUGCUUUAUACCAUUUGGUUGUAUCUUGUGCCGUGUCUUUGAAUUUAUAUAAGUAUCAAAUGUGUUCAUCAUUGAAUUCCAUUAUGAGGAUUGUUGUUUGAAAUUAUUCAUGUUCUACUGUUUUAAAUAGGUUGAGGAUAUUGAUUCGAGAAUGCUAUAGGUGGUUUAUUCCUAACUUGAUGAAGUUGAAGUAUCUAUUUGAAGCAUGUUAAAUGAUGUGGAAUUAUGUUGGCAUGUCAUGCACAGUGAAUCCUUCAUUUUGCAUUUUAAGUUAUAUCGCGAUCAUAUGGUCCGACUGUACUGGUACAAUAAGCAUCGUACGUUGCCCGAGGAGGGGUACGAUACAACUUCAUAUCCCUAGAGGUAUGAAGGCAAAAGUCAUAACUGCAUUUGUAGUCAUAUGCACUCAUGAGGAAUAUGUGGAACGUGACAUUGAUAUGUUACUAUUGAGAUUUUCAUCUUUGUGAUUUGGGAACUAGGUGUAUUGUACAUUGUAUUCUUUUUGCACCCUAUUAUUUAAGAAGGGAGUUGUGAAAUCCGUUGUUGGUAAAACACUGUAGUUAUGUUGUCAAACUGUUGGAUAAUCAUUUUACUUGCUGAGAUGUGUCAUCUCACUCUUGCAUUGCUUGAUGCAGGUACUUGAACCUUGUUUGGGAAAGGAGGAAAGUUGCAGCACGUUCACUUACACUUCUAAAUAACUCCGCCACUGCUUAGUAAUGACAUUAAUUAGGAACUUCGGGUCAAUGAUGUUGGCCUCUUUUAAUAAGUGUGUGCAAGUGGUUUAAUCUAUUCUGGUCAUUAUGGUGGUCGUUCCUUUGCUAGCUGAAUUAAUAAUGUUUUGUAGGUUUAUUCUUAUCAUGCAUUAUGUUUAUACACUGUGGUUUCCUCGUUUAUGCAACUUUCAAGGGAGAUGCUGCCGAAUUUUUUUAUAUAACAGUUUGUGGGAAGGGUAAUUUUGGUGACACCCGGAGUGUUUGGG